rnacentral:rRNA from 1 species
UACGGAGGGGGCUAGCGUUUUUCGGAAUUACUGGGCGUAAAGGGCGCGUAGGCGGCGCGGCGAGUUGGGUGUGAAAGGCCCGGGCUCAACCCGGGAUGUGCGCUCGAUACUGCCGCGCUGGAGUCCGGGAGAGGAUGGCGGAAUUCCCAGUGUAGAGGUGAAAUUCGUAGAUAUUGGGAAGAACACCGGUGGCGAAGGCGGCCAUCUGGACCGGCACUGACGCUGAGGCGCGAAAGCGUGGGGAGCAAACAGG